rnacentral:rRNA from 1 species
CCUACGGGAGGCUGCAGUAGGGAAUAUUGCUCAAUGGGGGAAACCCUGAAGCAGCCACGUCGCGUGGAGGAUGAAGGUUUUAGGAUUGUAAACUCCUUUUGUUAGAGAAGAUUAUGACGGUAUCUAACGAAUAAGCACCGGCUAACUCCGUGCCAGCAGCCGCGGUAAUACGGAGGGUGCAAGCGUUACUCGGAAUCACUGGGCGUAAAGAGUGCGUAGGCGGGGUAAUAAGUCAGAUGUGAAAUCCUGUAGCUUAACUACAGAACUGCAUUUGAAACUGUUACUCUGGAGUGUGGGAGAGGUAGGUGGAAUGCUUGGUGUAGGGGUGAAAUGCGUAGAGAUCAAGAGGAAUACUCAUUGCGAAGGCGACCUGCUGGAACAUUACUGACGCUGAUGCACGAAAGCGUGGGGAGCAAACAGGAUUAGAUACCCCAGUAGUC